AUAGCCCUCUUAGGCAACAACAUGGCCCUGUAGGAAGCACAUAACCUUCUUAGGCGUCAAUAUAGCCCUAUAGACAACUCAUAGCCCUUCUAGGCAUCAAUAUAGCCCCGUAGGCAACUCAUAGCCCUUUUAGGCAUCCAUAUAGCCCUGUAGGCAGAACAUAACCCUGCUAGGCAUAGAUCACAUUCCUGCAGCUAACCACAAUAGCCC
rnacentral:lncRNA from 1 species